GAUGAACGCUGGCGGCGUGCCUAAUACAUGCAAGUCGAGCGAACAGACGAGGAGCUUGCUCCUUUGACGUUAGCGGCGGACGGGUGAGUAACACGUGGGUAACCUACCUAUAAGACUGGGAUAACUUCGGGAAACCGGAGCUAAUACCGGAUAAUAUUUCGAACCGCAUGGUUCGAUAGUGAAAGAUGGCUCUGCUAUCACUUAUAGAUGGACCUGCGCCGUAUUAGCUAGUUGGUAAGGUAACGGCUUACCAAGGCAACGAUACGUAGACGACCUGAGAGGGUGAUCGGCCACACUGGAACUGAGACACGGUCCAGACUCCUACGGGAGGCAGCAGUAGGGAAUCUUCCGCAAUGGGCGAAAGCCUGACGGAGCAACGCCGCGUGAGUGAUGAAGGUCUUCGGAUCGUAAAACUCUGUUAUUAGGGAAGAACAAACGUGUAAGUAACUGUGCACGUCUUGACGGUACCUAAUCAGAAAGCCACGGCUAACUACGUG
rnacentral:rRNA from 1 species